AGCCUUCUUUAUCCAAGCCGAGACUUCGUCACAGAUCAGACCACAGUUUCUGUUGUGACUCCCAAGAUAAGUGAAUCA
rfam:Schistosoma mattheei strain Denwood, Zambia genome assembly, scaffold: SMTD_scaffold0002122